rnacentral:misc_RNA from 1 species
UCCGGUUUGUCACCGGCAGUCUCAUUAGAGUGCCCAACUCAAUGUAGCAACUAAUGACAAGGGUUGCGCUCGUUGCGGGACUUAACCCAACAUCUCACGACACGAGCUGACGACAGCCAUGCAGCACCUGUGUUCCCGUUCCCUUUCGGGCACACCCGGCUUUCACCGGGCUCCAGGACAUGUCAAGGGUAGGUAAGGUGGGGAUGACGUAGGAGAGUACGUCC